rnacentral:rRNA from 1 species
UACGGAGGGUGCAAGCGUUAUCCGGAUUCACUGGGUUUAAAGGGCGCGUAGGUGGCCUUCUAAGUCGAACGUGAAAUCCCCGGGCUCAACCCGGGAACUGCGUCCGAUACUGGAAGGCUUGAAUCCGGGAGAGGGAUGCGGAAUUCCAGGUGUAGCGGUGAAAUGCGUAGAUAUGCGGAGGAACACCGAUGGCGAAGGCAAUCCCCUGGGCCUGCACUGACGCUCAUGCACGAAAGCGUGGGGAGCAAACAGG